CUAAGAAUAUUCUCACUUUUCUGAUUUUGUAAUGAUCAGAGCAGGCUAAACAGUUGCUUUAUGAAGACCAUGCAUGUCUUUAGACCUGGUUCUUUCCCUACGUCCGGUUUCAUAGAUGCUGGUGAUAGAC